rfam:Flavobacterium sp. EM1308 contig00046, whole genome shotgun sequence.
CCCUAGCCCUGAUAGAAGCGGCAUCCUUUUAUGGUCUCGUUUUUUUCUAACGAGACCAUAAAAGAUAUAGCGGAUAGCAGGAUUAGCU